UCUCGAAAACUAAUCAUGAACACCUCUGAGACUCACUGUUGGGUCUAUUUUCAAUAGAUUUUGCAGUUAAAAAAGUGAUCGAUGAUUCAGUUUCCUUUCCAAGAGUCAAGUGAAUUUAUCAGAUUCUGAUUUCUGCAUUCAUCUAAAAUAAGGUGCUGGUCUGCACGGAAGCUCGGAUUCAAGGGGCAGCCACCCAGUUCAUCCUCUUUUCCUUAUUACUCUCCCAACGGUGCUGCUCCUGCAGCUUAAAUCAUGGGCAUCGGCCCUGAAGAGCAGCUCUACAAAUGAAAGUGUCUUCUGUGUGCAGAGGGAAGAGAAACCUCUACCAACCAAAGGCUCACCUCCGGACAAUUUAUCUAACAAAGUCCAUUUCCUGUGUGCCGUUUGCAGGAAUAAUCAAGGAGAGAAGAUACUGGGAAAUGUCCUUCUCAGUUCUUCUAAUCUGCUGCAAGAUAGCAAUAGAAGACUGGAUGAUUAAGUUGAGUUGACUACAGAUAACCCAGCACCGUGGCUAAUUUCUACACAUCCUUCAUGUUCAUGAACUGUUGCCUAAUCCCUAGGUAAGACUGUGUCCCUCUGUCAUAGCAUUUUUAUUAAUAAGAGCAUAAUUGCAAUAUGAUUUUUUGUGCAGUUAUGAGAUAAAUAUUUUUCUUAUCCACUGCAAGCAUUAGUUUCCUGUGUUUCCCAAAAUAUCUUCUCACCCUCUGGAACCUAUUAUUAUGCUUCUGUGCUCAGUCAUGUCCAACUCUUAGUGACCCCAUGGACUGUAGCCCACCAGGCUCUUCUGUCUUUGGAAUUUUCCAGGCAAGAGUACUACAGCAGGUUGCCAUUUCCUUCUCCAGGGGAUAUUCCUGACCCAGGGAUGGAACCCGUGUCUCCUGCAUCACUUGCACUGGCAGGUGGGUCCUUUACCAAAGAGCCGCCUGGGAAGCCCCUGGGACCUAUUAGGCUUUCAAUAAAUGUUUGCUGAAAAAAUGAAUGAAAUAUCUCAAUUUUUUCAUUGAUUUAUGCUCUUGCAAUUCCUGAGUGUAUCCUGUUUGUACAUUGCACAGAGGUGAGAUUUUGCUAUGGAUGUAACCAGUGGAAGAGAUUGGGUUAAAUCAAUAACUGCAGGAUAAACUUUAAAAUUGUUUCAGAAGUUAAAAGCCAGCAGGACAAUUUGCAUUCUCUAUAUAAAGUUGUUAGAAUAUGUGUAUCUGUUGAUCUAGAAAUUCUGAGGAUGUUUUCUGUUGACAUUUUAAGCUGUGGAAGAGAUGGAUGUAUAAGGAUUAUUCAUUGCAUGAUUUUUUGUAAGCUCUGAAAAGAAUUGUCCUUCACACCUCCCACUCAAUUUUUAAGUCAUUAUUGCAUGGCUUCAGUCCCCUUAAACCUACUGAAUAUGUCUGUCUAAAAUCUCCUCUUAUCAAUAAAUGCAAUGGAUACUUGUAGUUUGCAUCUUCCUUGACCUCUUAGAGCAUUUGACUUGCUGAUGAUUUUUCUCCUUUUUUUUUUUUUUGAACCAUUUCCCUCUCUGAUUUACAGUACGAGGCUUUUAAUGUAAUAACUGGCUCUUAAUGUCUUUAGGCAGAUUGGCUUCUUAAACUGAGAAAUAUGGACUGGGCUUUUGAGAAGUUCAGGGAGUAGCAAAAAAGAAUAUCUUGAAUGAUGUGAGCAGUUUUUCCAAAGCUCCUAGGCUGGGAUCAAUGACCACGUUCCUGGGUGACGUUCCUGUGCCCAAGUUCUUGGCAGAGUUUGGACACUGGUGCUUUGCAAGGUUUCUUCUCAGAAUUACUUAGAGGCUGUAACUGAUGCUUGACACAUCUCUUGCUUCCUACAGAAAGCUGAAGUCAGUGAGUUUUAAUGGCCACAAUUUGAUAGGAAAAAAUCUGAGUAAAGAUGAUGGUUAGGUCAUUUCAAACCAGUCAUUCAACAGAAUGAUGUGUUUCUUUAAACACACAGGCAUUUUUAAAUGACAAAUAUUGACCUUUCUUAGCAUGGUUUCUGAUCUACCCUCCAAAAGAGAUAUCUUAGCUACAUGUAUCAUUAUGUUUGCUAUUUUGAUUAUAAUACUGAGAAAAUAUGAUUUAUUAUAUUAUCAACGACUCUAAUGUUGCACAUAGAAGCUUAAAUCCAACUACAAAUGGCAUUCACGAAAUGUUUUCAGAGGCUUUUCUAUUUUUUUAUAUGCUUUA
rnacentral:lncRNA from 1 species